rnacentral:lncRNA from 1 species
AUUGGGCCUUUGUGAAUCAUUAUUCAUUAAGUUGUCAUACAACUUAAUUCAAUGGGCUUGACGUUCAUUUGAUGGACUAUAUAGUUGCCUUAGGGCCUUAGGAUGACUAUGAACCUUUGUUUAGAUUCAACACGAGCCUAGUGUUGAAUCUCGGUCUAGGGAUGGUGAUUGAUUUCAGUUACGCGUUCAAUCACAUUAAGGCGUGUUGUCUUAGGGGCGUUGGACCCCAACUAUUCCAAUUUCAUGCAUAUCAAAUAAAACAAGAAAAGGAGUACUUUAAAGUAAAGAAGAGCUUAUGCUCUUUUACAACAAUUGAUCAUAACAAAUUACUUUAAAGUAAAGAAGAGCUUAUGCUCUUUUACAACAUUUGAUCAAAUCAAAUUACAACCAAAAUCUAAUCUACACAUUCCCAUGGUUCAAACAAAUUUGAGACGGCCUUUCACAUAGCUCAAUUAUCGUAGGCUUAGGUUCAUAAUCACCCUUUAAUUAAUUAACGCUUUAACUAAUUAAACUUGAAUGCAACAUUUUCAUUUGGUUUUUGUAUCCAUAGAAUUGAUUUAAAUGGAGCUAAAUGAAAUGAAAAUCCAAUUCUCAGUUAAGGAGACAAAACCAUUUUGUUCUCAACCUAAUUUGGGCCAAAAUGUAAUAACCUCAACUUUUUGGGCUAUGUUGCAAAACUUAAACUUUUGAGCUCAUUUUGUAAAAACACAAAAGUCCACUACUUCAUGUAAUUACAACUAGAACCCAAAAAUUCAACAAAUUGAAAAAACAUCAUUAAAGGAACAAAACAAUUUGUCCUUUAAUGAUUUUGGGCCUUUACGUAAAUACGUAAACUUUUGGGUCAAACUACAAAUUACACAAAAGUACCAAAACUUUAUUUAAUUGCAGAAAAGCCCCAAAAGCACCCCACUUGUAGGGUGGCCGGUUUUAGAGAGAGUGAGGAAUGCAAACUUUUGAAAUUUUUCAACAAAGUCAUAAAGCCAUGCAAGUGGUGUGUGUGACAUAAAUUCAUGCAAGUGGUGUGUGUGUAAGAGAAGUACUUCUUACACACCCAUCACCAUUUCUAUCACCUUUCAAAAUUUCAAUCACAUUAAAACAUUUGAUAAAGCACAAAACAAAGACUUUAUGAAAUAAAUCAAAACUUUGAAUCGAAACACCAAACUUUUUGUUCUUGGCUAAAAUGUCAAGAACAAUGAAGAACAUUCAUGAAAAACCCAUAAAAGCUUCAUCAACAUUUUUCAUCCAAAGAUAUCCCAAAACCAUUCAAACUUAAGGGAAAUAACAUAUAACCAAACUAGGGUACAUAGGGGUUCCAAAAGUUACUUGAAAACACGUUUAACAAGUCAAACAAGAACCCAAAAAUCCACCCUUUGGAUUUGGCCGAAAAUUCCCAAAAACAUGGCACCAAAUUUUAGCUCCAAUAUUCAUGCUCAUAUGAACUACAUCUACAACAUUUGAGAUGGCAAAUUUUCAAACAAAAUUUACAUUCAAAGAAGCAAGAAUAAAGUUUGUAACAUAUUACAACAUUUGAAUCAAAGACUAUGAACUACAAAACCCAAAAGGAUUCAUCAACUACUUGACCUAGGCUCUGAUACCAAUUGAAAGAAAUUUUGUGAAAAACAUGUUCAUUUAAGCAACAUCUAUAGCAUGCAAUUAACAAUUAAAAGGCGGAAUCAUGCUUGUAUGCACUUAAAAACAAAACAUUAACCAUGAAAUUCAAAGCCUAGUAGAUUGGUGAACCUUGACUCAACUUAAAACAACAUUUGCUAGUUGAGAAAUGACACCUUUGUAGAUUCCUCUUUGUAUAAGCAAAGGCUAAUCACCCAAAGAGAGGGCCUUCAUUCCUUGGAUCUUAGAUCUAUGGAUUUGGAUGGAUGAAAUGGUUCUCCAAGUUCCCAAAAUUGAGAACCUCUAAGUCUCUUCACAAAGGUUAGAUUGGAGAAGAAAUGAGUGACCUUGGAGUAGUAGGAUUGCUAGCUAAACUCUCCAAGGAGGCCGGCCACUUUAGAGAGAAAGGAGAGCUUAUGUUCUCAUCCUUUCCCCAAAAGAAAACCCUAAAUGAAUUUUGGCUAUAAAGUCAUAUUUAUACCUUAAUUCAUUGGAGUGGCAAACUUGUAAAUAAGUCCAAAACUCACUCCAUCUCUAAAUGGCUGGCCUUAGGGUAUUAUUGGGCUAAUUGGGCCUUUGUGAAUAAUUAUUCAUUAAGUUGUCAUACAACUUAAUUCAAUGGGCUUGACGUUCGAAGCCCAUUGGGCCUUAAGGUCCAAAACUAUCCCGAGGUCUUUAACGAACUUAUUCGUUUGAUUAAUUAACAUAUUAAUUAAUCCUUGCCAUAAAUAAUUAAACCAUUUAAUUAUUCUUACUCAUCUCCAUUGUUUCUUCAAUCUCCACCUUACACGGUGUACGAUCCAUUAGGUUCCUUUUAGCGAGGCAGUGGGCGAUUAAAACCAUUUCAAAUCGAUUGUGAAUUGAAAGGUACUUUCAAUUCUCCCUUUAGUGAUUACACACGUUUAGGGCUUCCACAAACCAUGAGUGACGCCUAGCAGCAUAUCAUGGUUACCCAAGCUAAUCAGAAGAGGUGGAGAACCUAUUCAGUUUAGGAUUACAAAUGCAAUACGGUCUUUCUCUAAUACAUUACUCUUGACCACAUUGUUUCGUUUGAUAGUUUAUUCAUGUCUACUAUCCAAUGUGAUUCGUGUGCUUAUAUGAUUACCUUGAAUGUGAUUUGGAACGACUUCCUAAAUCUCAUUCAUACUCUGGCUAGAGAUUCUUAAUCAUAUCAUAGAGUAUUCUCCCCCAAACGGUUUGAAGGUUAGGGAUCCCUUGUUGCGCAUUCACUUGCCUCUAUGGCUAAGUGGCUUAACCCCGACGAUGCCGUGGACACCUGCGGAUGGGGUGACUUUGACAUAAUCAAAGAUCAAGUACCUAACCACAAGACAACUAUGAUGCCUCAGGUCAAAGGACUACUUUGCAUUAUCCCAACCCUAAGUUCUCAUGUGACAUGAGUAUGAGAACUCCUCGUUGAUCAUGUUCAGUGGACUCAUUCGUUAUUGAGCACCUACAUGCUUGUCUUGGUGUCAAUCACACCAAUGACUCGAGACUAGUCACUCUCCCUAAGAGAAGACAUAACAUGUACUAAUCUUAACGGACUGUCAAUGCCCAAUUGGCAAUCCUAUGAUCAGGAACGUUUAGGAUAUGUAUACGAAAGAAUGGUCUCAUGAAUCUAACUUCUUUAGAUCGCAUUCUCCCAAUCACAUAUUCCUUGGACUUAUCGUUUAAGCGUGUAACAUUUAUAUGAGACUGCUCAAACAAUAAUCUUUGCCCUUGAUAUUAAACUAGAUUAGUUUAACAUGUGAAAUGUGCGUAAAGUAUCAUCAUAUGAUUGGUUUUAGGGCACAUUUCCAACAAUCUCCCACUUGCACUAAAGCCAAUCAGCUGUUGGAAAUGUGCCCUAAAACCAAUCAUAUGAUGAUACUUUACGGACAUUUCAAAUGUUAAACUAAUCUAGUUUAACAUAUAAAGGGCAAAGAUUAUUGUUUGAGCCGUCUCAUAUAAAUGUUAUAUGCUUAAACGAUAAAAUCCAAGGAAUAUGUGAUUGGGAGAAUGCAAUCUAAUGAAGUUAGAUUAAUGAGACCAUUCUUUCGUAGACA